ensembl:lncRNA
CCAGGGCUGAGCAACUUCUCAUUUGCUUCCGUAAACAUAUUUACAUAUUUCCCACAGGCCUGGUGCUGGGCUGAGCCUUCUAGGAAAAGUCUAAACUGCCCAGCGAUCCGGAGUUGUAAAGUCAGCCAAAGAUGAGAGGCCGUAAGGCCUUACCACUCAGUUUAGUCUGUGGCAGACAGGGACCUGGGCCACAACGCUAAUGAUUCCUUUACUGAACUCUAAUCAUGUCCCAGAAAACGCACUGCACGUGUGUUAUCACAUUUAAUCUUCAUCUUUCACACUCACUUUCCCACUUUACAGGGAAGAAAACAGACGCUUGGGAUCCCAAGAAGUGUACCUGGUUAGUGCUUACUGCAUACCUUCCCAGUCUCAUUAUUUCCUGAGUUCUGUGCAUCCCCAUUUCAAAAGCUUCCCAGGCUCCCCUCCAUAUCUCUUCUCUGCUGCCAAAGCCAAGGACAAGGGAGACCAGAUGGAGACCAAGGGUUUCACAAGAAACUGAUCUUUACUCAACAAAGUUCUACACAAGUGGAAUCUCACGCCACCUCGGCGCCAAUCCCCAGCACAGCACGGUAACAAAUGGACAGACCCUGGAGCCCGCAGGAGGAAGAGGAGGGGGAAGGAGGGACAUUGGCAUGAGGGGGACUGCAGAUCGAGGCCAGUCAGGGUCCGCAGCCCUGGGCAGGGGAGAAGGUUGAGAAGCUGAAACUUCGUUGUGCAAAAAUCAACCAAAAAUAAAUUAAAAAAUUAAAUAGUUUUCUUAAAAAAAAAAAAGGAAAGAAAGAAAACUAGAACCAGGCUCCCCUUCCCUGAAGGUGAUUGGAGCCCCCAUCCUGGGUGGAGAAGGGGUUACCAAUCCCAUCAGCCAAUCCAUUCACACACCCCAAGACCCAGCAGAGAGAGGGUGCUCCAAGGAACUGGAAUUACCAGAAAAUUAAAUGCUUUUUUUUUAAAAAAAAAACUUUUUUUCCUUUUUCUUUUUUUUUCUUUUUUUUUUUUUUUUUACAAAUGGCUUCCAGAGACCUGCUGGAGUUUCAUAUGGGGGAGAGGGGACACGACCAGCUGAGUUUAUGGAAUGUGCACCAAGUGCCCCUCGGAAUAGAGGCAGGGCCUGACCCUGUCAGAAAGAAGACACAGGGAUGUGAUGGGGGUGGGGUCCAGGGCCCCGGACGGAUGGAUGGAGCAGGCCCCAGGAUGCAGGAAUCCAGUCAAAGCCCCCCAAAACCCCAACAGGCGCCCCCAAAGAAGUAGAAAGUGGGAGAAGAGAAAAAGGAAAACAACAUUAAGGGGGCUGCAGGGCCCGGUUUCAGUUUCCAGGCCAACUUGCAAAUAACCACGCUCCCUCCCUCUCCAGGGGAACCCUCCCACGGUGACCACAUCCCCAGCCAAUCUCAGAAGGUACCCUAGAAUCAUGCCCCAAUCUGGUGGGUUUCGGGGCCCACUGGGUGCUGGGAUGAGCGGGAAGCCCGAGGGCCACAGACUGGGGUCAGGGGGUCCGUCACCUUUCCCCUCUUCCAGGCCCGGAGCUUCCUUCUUGCUGGCAAAACGUAAACCUUCAUCCUCUGUCACCAUCGAUUAAAUGCCCCGGCCGCAGCCCUUGUCUUAAAACUCAGGCCUAGAACUUGGGAAGAGGGCUCUUGCGAGCACGGAGAAAUGGACUGCCCUUGACAGGGGCUUGUUUAUGGAGAGAUGCAGGGGGUAGGCGGCAGCAGCUGUGGCCGCCCCCAGCUCUCUUUGGGGGAAAAAAGUCCCAGCCCAGCAUCUUCAAGUCUCUGGGGCCCAGGGCAAGGAGAAAGGACAACUUCUGGCCAGCCCCAGCCGCUCUGGUGGUCCCCACUCUUCUGGCUGGGACAAGACAAGGAGGGGGACACACUGGCCGAGGCUGCCUCAGAGCCGGCAGGAAGUGUGCGGAGCAGGUCCGAAGCGUGCGCGUGCUGACGGGGUGGCCUUACGGGUUAACUCAGGGGUUCACUAAUUCUACUGUCUCCAUGCAGUCGGGGAAAUGGUGGGCGGCUGGCUCAGCCUGGCUGGCUGCAGCACCGCACAUGCGCGUGGCCACGUGUGUACGUGUGAGUGUACGUGUCUCUACAAGGACCCCCCUCCCUGCCUGCUUUCCCCUCACCUCAUCCUAAGCCGGAUCCCGUCGGCCGUGUUGAUUCUUCCCUCCCACGUGGCCGGCCCAAGUGGGCCACCGGAGGUGACCCCGAUUGAGCAAAGGGGCCCUUGCCGCCAAGAAGUCCCACCC